rnacentral:rRNA from 1 species
AGUAAACACAAUAAGCAUUCCGCCUGGGGAGUACGGCCGCAAGGUUGAAACUCAANNNAAUUGACGGGGGCCCGCACAAGCAGCGGAGCAUGUGGUUUAAUUCGAAGCAACGCGAAGAACCUUACCAGGUCUUGACAUCCAUUUAAAGCGGUAGAGAUACCGUGUCCCUUCGGGGGAAAUGAGACAGGUGGUGCAUGGUUGUCGUCAGCUCGUGUCGUGAGAUGUUGGGUUAAGUCCCGCAACGAGCGCAACCCUUAUUUUUAGUUACUAACGCGUUGUGGCNNNGACUCUAAAGAGACUGCCGGGGACAACUCGGAGGAAGGUGGGGACGACGUCAAAUCAUCAUGCCCCUUAUGACCUGGGCUACACANNNGCUACAAUGGCCACUACAAAGAGGAGCAAACCCGAGAGGGGGAGCGAAUCUCAUAAAAGUGGUCCCAGUUCAGAUUGUGGGCUGCAACCCGCCCACAUGAAGUCGGAGUUGCUAGUAAUCGCGGAUCAGCAUGCCGCGGUGAAUACGUUCCCGGGCCAUGUACACACCGCCCGUCACACCAUGGGAGUUGGGAGCACCCAAAGCCGNNNNNNNAACCGAGAGGAGCCAGCCGUCCAAGGUGAGACCAAUGACUGAAGUGAAGUCGUAACAAGGUAACC